AAUAGAUACCCGGGUAGUCCACGCCGUAAACGAUGUCGACUUGGAGGUUGUGCCCUUGAGGCGUGGCUUCCGGAGCUAACGCGUUAAGUCGACCGCCUGGGGAGUACGGCCGCAAGGUUAAAACUCAAAUGAAUUGACGGGGGCCCGCACAAGCGGUGGAGCAUGUGGUUUAAUUCGAUGCAACGCGAAGAACCUUACCUACUCUUGACAUCCAGAGAACUUAGCAGAGAUGCUUUGGUGCCUUCGGGAACUCUGAGACAGGUGCUGCAUGGCUGUCGUCAGCUCGUGUUGUGAAAUGUUGGGUUAAGUCCCGCAACGAGCGCAACCCUUAUCCUUUGUUGCCAGCGAUUCGGUCGGGAACUCAAAGGAGACUGCCAGUGAUAAACUGGAGGAAGGUGGGGAUGACGUCAAGUCAUCAUGGCCCUUACGAGUAGGGCUACACACGUUCUACAAUGGCAUAUACAAAGAGAAGCGACCUCGCGAGAGCAAGCGGACCUCAUAAAGUAUGUCGUAGUCCGGA
rnacentral:rRNA from 1 species